UCAUUCUUAAUAACAAUAAAUAUCAACACAGAUAAAAAUCAAUUUUCUAGAAAAUCAUUUAAUCGAACAUCGAAAACAUGUUGUACUGUAUGGUAAAAUCAGAAUAUACUAUGAAAAUAUGUUUUGUAUAUUCCACUUAUAGUAACAAAGUCCAGACUCGGUAUCAAUAACGUCCGCGGGUUGAUUCUCGUUCGCGGAUCCUCCUAAUCAAGGAAACAGCAUAAUCAUUCUCCGUAAAUUUGAAAUACAACUAAUUUUACAUAAUAAUUCUCGAAACGAAUAUCUAUCCACAAUAAACUAUUCCCGCAUGCACAAAAUUACCAAAAUACCCCCAACAUCAUUAUUUUACCAAAUUAUCCUCAGAAUCUUCAAUUACUAAAUUGUCCUCAAUUCAGAUCACGAAAAUAACUACAAUGUCAGAAAUUACGAAAUUACCCUUGAAGCGUAAAAUUACCAAAAUGCCCUUAACGACUUAAAUUACUGAAUUAUCCUCGAAAUCUCAAAUUACCUCACUGCCCUAACCAAAGAUUACCAAAUUAUCCACUGAUUUCACAAAUUACAAAUUCACCCUAAAGUUUUAUGAAAUUACCGAAUUGCCCCUGCCGGUCAACGGUGACCGGACUUCAGUCAACAUUGACGGGAAGCUUAGGUCUGAUAGUUCAGACCUCGGUGAGUCCAACGGUGCCGACGGUGACCUACCACGCGCGGCGAUGGCGGUGGAUCGUGCUCCCAAAGCCGUUUGCUUUCCGGCGGUCGUUCACGGCCAAAACGGAGGUUUCAGGUGCCGGGGUUAGUCGGAAAUGAAAGCUGGUGACGUCGGGAGUCGAACCCAACCGGUGGUGCAACCUAAUUCCGGCUAGAUUGACGGUGAAGAAAAAGGGUUGUGCCGCGGCUUUCAAGCUUAGAUCGCCGGCAUUCUGGCUGAUUUCCGGUGACUAUGACAGCGGGGAUAUGACCGGCGUCGCUCAAGCUUCAGAUCGGUACCAAGAUCGGCCGGUGAGGUGGCCGGAAUCGGCGGUUGGAGCCGGGUGAAGGACGCGGGUCGGAUGUGGGCUGAACCGGUCAAUUACUCUCUCUCUCCUUCUCUCUCACGUGUAAUUAAAUUAAAUUAAAAACACACAAUGCAAUUAAAUUAAAAACACACAAUGUAAUUGCACAACCAUUUUACACGUACACAAUUCAAUUCAACAACCCAAUAUAAAAAAUAAAAAAACUCAUAUCUUAUACAAAUAAAAACACAAUACAAUUAAAUUAAAAACACACAAUAUGUGAUGUUAUGAGAAUGUAUUGUGUGCGUGUGUUAACUUGUAUUAAUUUUUUUUUUUUAAAUAAGGUUGGGUCGGCAUUAAACCCGACUUUGAUCCAAAAUUUAUUCAAACCUUAAAAUUUUAGCCCUAACCCAAUCCUAAACUUAAAAAUUCGGGUCAAAAUCUUCCUAUCACCCAAUUAAAGAUUGAAUUUAUUAUUCCCUUCUACUGACUUUUUUCUCUCUCUCUUGCGGCUUUUCUUCCACCAAAAGUUACUGCCGCUAUUUUUCACACACAAUUCCAUUAGGGCAGCGCUGCCUUUGAUAGCCAAAUUACAUGGCAAAUUUCAUCCAAAUCCAAAGCUUUGAAAUAAUUACAAACCAAACAAAUUUAUUUGGACUUUGAGUUUUUGGGCCCCCAAAUGAGAUGGACCCAACAAUACAAUUGAGAUUUGUUAAGUUUUGCAAAAUCCAUUAUUAGCAAUCUACUGUUCAUAUUUGUUUAUAAUUAUUGUAAAUAUAAAAUAAGUCAGUGAUAUCAACAAAAGCUUUUAGUGAUUUUAAAACUUGAAGAGAAACAAAACCAAGAAAAUUGCUAAACAACCUGCUUACUUGCUUGUUGUAUAAUUGAUCAAAAUAUAAAUAAGAGAAAACCGUUUCUUGAUCAAAGAAGCAUGUGCAAAGAUAGUUCUAAUUAUAUGAAAAUAACCAUACGAUGCCAUUGUUGCAGUUCAUACUUGUUUGGGUUGGACUAUUCUAGUAGUGUUUCAAAAUAUAGUCGAUCCUAAUAUACUCAGAACUUAUGUUGUUGAGCUGACCUCAUAAGUACAACCUGGAGUCUAUGUUGGCGACCUGAUUUACAAGUACGGCCUAAGAUCUAUGUGAAUGACCUAGUUUAAGAAUACAACCUCAACGCUUUAUGAGCGACUGAGAAAUUCAUAUGUUUGAUAUGAAAGUGAAGUAAUUCAACCUUAAAAUUCUCUUGUCCGACCUGAGAAUUAGUUUGACAUAGAAAAUUGCUAGUUAAGAGAACGUGGCCUAAUUUAUAGGGAAGUUGUGUGCCACGAUCUAUUUAAACCACCUCCAACUGACAACCAUUUGCAACUGCUGAAGAAAGCGGGCUGAAGUUAAGGAGGUAACCGUACACGACCAAGAGUCUAUUUAAACUGAAGAGUGCAUCAGGUGAGAGGGUGAGCAAAAUCAACCAAAGCUUCUACAAGAUGUUCAGCCCCUCUACCGGAAAAUUACUUGACUUUAAUUCAUUCAUAAUUCUUCAUUCUCAUUUUUCUCCUUUUAUACAUAAUUUCUGACUUAAGCAUCGGAGGGUCUACGCCGGAACCCCACCGGCGUGUCCUAACCGUGUUUUCUGGUUGGCAUAUAUAGAAAGUUGCAAUCAGACUUGCGUUUGAGCUUGGAUUCACACUGUAAUUCCUGAAAAGAAACAAAUUCAGCUGUUGAGCUCGUUUUUUCGGCAUCAACAAUACCUUUGGGUGUAUUGAUACGCUAGGAUGGGGGAGCCAAUUUCGGUAGUCUUUUGUAAAAUUUCAAUAAUAAUGUUAAAAAAAUCUAACUGAACCCUUAUAUCAUUAUAUAUCAUCAUAUUUUAUUAUAGAUCAACAUAAAAUUUUGCAGGUACACGAAAUCUGUAGAAAGAGAAUGUGAGCUAUAUUAUUUCUUAUGGAGUUUCUAUUUUCAAUUAGUUCUUCCUUGGAGCACCAACUCUUAUUUUUUAGAUACUUUUAAAAAUUUGAAAGUUGUCCCGAUCCCCAUUCCGUUGAAUAAUAAAAGAAAACAAUUUCUUUUUUUAUAUUUAUAUAAAACAAGCUUUUUAAAAAUUGGAUUUCGAGUUUUACAAAAUAAGUUGUCAGUUAUAAGUUCUGUAUAAAUAAUACAAUAUGAAUACAACUAUAAUUUUCAUCCACACUAAAAUGAGAAAAAAAAAGAAAGUCAAGACAAAAUUGAGAGUGUAGAUUGUCAUUUAAAGAGCACAGGAAGUUGAAGGUAAUUGAAAUUGAAAAUGAUUCUCAUUGGAUGAGCAAGAGAUUUAAAUUAAAUUUCUGAAAAGUUUGCGUUGUAAACGAAUUUUGAUCACACGGGGUUUCGAGAAUAAGAAUGGAGGAUUAGUCAUGAAAUAAAAGUGGUGUUGUUAGAAAUAGUGAUAUCUUUAAAUAUUUUUAAUGGUAUAUUUUAGGAAAAAAAAGGUUUUACAAGGAGUUUUUAAGGGUGUCAAUAAUCCAACUUUAUUUUAAUAAAUUUAAUGGAAGUUAAAUUAACUAAUAAUUGUGAAUUUUCAAUUAUGAAUAGUGUAUUGUUCCUGCUUGUUGUGAAUUGUCAAUUAUGAAUAGCGUAUAGGCUGAGAGCAUUUGCGAAGCAGGAGUUCUCUCUACCUCUUUCAAAACAGAUAGUUCACUUUUCUUCACCAAAAGCAUAUCCAACUUGUUGUUCUAAUCAGUUGUAAAUGCAUUCUUACGUUAAUAAUAAUUCAUUGUAUUGCACUGGCAAAGCUUCCUUGAGGACAGUGCUCUAAAAUCUUAGCACACGCCUUCGCGCUUUGGGGAGAUCUUGGGUUCAUCUUCUGCACAUGAUGGGGAGAGGGGAUUUGAUCUCAACAGUACUCGGAUCAUAACGGAGGAAGAGAAGAUUCAAGGGUUACUAAUUCUCUGUUUUGUCGCUAGUUUUGCAACUUUUUUUUCACUGCUCCUUGAGUAAUCCGAGUGUCCUCUGCACAGUUUGGGUACUCCAGAUCAACAGCAAACAAUAAUAACAUAAAAGCGAGUAAAGAGAAUAACACAGGAGAUUUACGUGGUUUGGCUUCGUUAGGCCUACAUCCGCUAGGAUAAACACACUCGUGCCGAGUUUAUUGAUCACUAAGGAUUUUACAAUGGAAAUACACUCAUUCUUAGAAGUUAUUGAGCUUACAAUUUCUCCCUCCCCGAAAACUAUUAUGUGUUUCCUAAACCCAACCACUAUGGUUCGCAGUUGCACCUUGGCUUGUCCCCUUGGUUCCUGGCCGUACCUUGGCCUUCCUCCUGGCUGCCCUUUUGGCUUGCUUCCUUGGCUGCCCCUUUGGUUGCCUCCCUUCGGCCUGCCUGUUUCGCCUCUUACUGAAUUUUGUUGGCUUUUGUAGAGUAAUUCCCUCAAAUGAUUUAAGUACCUAAAUAGCUACCAUAGCGGUUAUCUAUCAUCAUGGUUAGUUAUCCAACCAUUAAGUGCUAUACAUAGUUAUUUAAUCAUCAUAGGUCGUUACAUCCACGUCACAGAGCUUAAAUAUGGUGCCACGUAAAUUAAAACUCCAACACCAAAUAUCUGGUAUUGAACAAGCUUUUUUAAUAUCUGGUGUUGAACAACUUAAUUCAAAAUAUACAACUGAAUUUUGAUGUUGAAUUCUGUUUCGCAAGCUAGUUUUGUCUCUUUCAACUCUAAUUCUCAAGUCGGGUUUUAUUAAGAAUAUUAUAAUUGGUUGCGUUGCCUUGUACCUUUUAUUUUAGUUGAAGUUUGAUUCUUGCAUUCUGCAUUUCCUACUUUGGUAUGCUACGGCAUUUGGUUUUCCCAAAUCUAUUAUCUAGAUGUUUCUCUACACUAUUUGUUUUCACUCUUAUCUUAUUUGCUGAUAUGUCUGCUUUCAGAAUGGAAUGCAUUCUCUUUCUCCAGCUGUGUGGUCCAAGCAUAGAAGAUGGCUCUUAAUGUCCAUGCUUUGUCUGAAUCCUUAGCUUGUGUAAGUUCGAAGCCUCUCUAUGGUUAAAAACACAUGGUGAUUGAUUUUUGUGCCAUUUAUUGACUGAUAUUCAGGUUUUGCCACUAAUAGUUGAUAGUCUUUUCCUUAAUUGAUAGUUGAUGGGAAUUUCUGACAAUGUUGAUAACUGUUUAUCUUGCCUUUCUAUAGUUGUUCUAACCUACAUUAAUAAGAACCAGAUACCAGACGAUCAGCAUGAUAGAAAUUCCCCCCCCCCCACCUCUCUCCCAUUUUAUCCUAGUUUUCUUUGAUGCUGGAGUAUAUUUUAUCCCUCUCUCUUUAUAUAUGUAUAGAUAUAUACUUCACUUUGUUUGUUUCAUUGGCACUUCCUUCUAUGUCAUAGUACUUGCACGAUACUGUCAUUAGUUAAUCAUUAUACAUCUAAUUUAUUUAAGUUUUGAGCUUCUGAGGUGCCUUGAAAGGCUUAUUGAAUAGUGAGAACUGAAAGGAGUCAAAUGAAUAAUGCCUGUUAUUUUUCUGAUACCAUGCCGAACUGAAAACUCUUAACGUUGGCCACCUCCUAAAAAAAUGUAAGAAAAUAUGUCGUAAUGGAAAUCAUUUAUUCUUUAAGCACUCCACUUGGGAUUUGUUAGCGUUUGGGGUACCAUAAAAUUGGAUAUGUAGUUGGAAUUUGAAUAGAAAUCUUUCUCGAGUAUUCAAGGUGUUUGAAUUCUCUGAAGAGGGUGAUUGAAAUGUUUGAUCGAAGUAGUGUAGCAUAGAAUACAAUUAUAAGUAGUCUGUAUAUUUAAGUAAUCUAAUUGAAGGAAACUACAUGAAAGCACGCCAUAUUCCUUUGGAACUAGAACUUAUUUCUGCCUAUUAAGGUGAAGUUUCUAACUGAGCCUUCUCCUUCACUUCUCCCUCACUCUGUUCGCAGUCAUUUGUGGAUCUGCAGUGUCCUAAUGGGCAGUUUAUUUAUGUAUCUGGGGAGGGUCUAAAUGCUAGCGCUUUCCUACCUCUUUGUGGGGGCCUUCUUCAGGCUCAGGGCCAAUAUCCAGGGGAAAUGAGGUUCAGCUUCUCAUGCAAGGUUAGAUUGUAAAGUGGGAAUGGAUGGUAGCAAAAACAAAUGGAGUGGAUUAGGUUUCAUAAGCUUUUGAAAGCGAUUUUAUGUUUAUAAAUUUCAAAUUUGUCUUGGUGGCCUUGAUUUAUGGGAACUAAACUCUUUACUGUCUAAAAUUUCAACAGAAUAAGUGGGGAACACGUAUCACCCCAAUGGUACAAUGGCCUGACAAAUCGUUUACAUUGGGUCUUUCACAAGCUUUGGCUUGGCAGAGAUCUGGUCUCAUGGUGAGGCCGACCAUUCAAUUCAGGUAGGAUUUAUAUGCGUAACUUGUGAAAAUCUUUAUUCUUUUAUUAUUUUGUUAUCAUCAUUGAUGUUUGUAGUAAUUAGCAGACCUGUCCUUGUGUCCUUGGCGCUUUGCUUCGUGAGUUACUCAUUAGCACAGAGGAGUUCAAAAGCACAUCUUUAUUGUCAAAUGUCAUUUGAAAUGUUUCUAUUCGAGGCAUACUUUUUCCCUGCUUUUGUUUUAUUAAUUACAUUGUAUUGCCUUGCCUGCUACUGUACGGAGAAAUGGCAUUUUUGUCUCAAGUUAGUGACAUACACCCACACGUGACAGUAAUCAAAAUCUAUUAACCUGGCAAAUUUAGGAAAAUGGGGUAUUAUCAUUUGACCACCUAACAUUUCAUGACAUGUCACUUCUGUGUGUGCUGAAUCUCCUUUUUGAAAUUGAACUUUAAUUGCAUGCUUGGAUUGUUGACAUUAUUAGAAUUAUUUCAUUAUUCCCUGUUUCAAGCUGGACCUAUUUGCUCUUUAAUCUGUAUAAUACGUGGUGGUGGUAUUUUUCAUGCUUACUGCAUAUUGUUUUAAAUCCUCCUGGUCAGUUUAUGUCCCACGUUUGGUGGAACCAAUCCUGGGUUACGGGCAGAACUUAUUCAUUCAUUGAAGGAAGAACUUAGUCUUAUCUUCGGUUACACAUUCGUGACACAUCCUUCAGCGUUUGCAUCAAUAUCCGUAAGUUAUUUGCUGCUCAUUAUAAUCAUUGUUACAUUUUUUUUUUUCCUAAUGCAAUCAUUAUUAAAUUUUAUUUUCAAAGAUUUAGCAUAUUGAAAGGCAUGUGGCGUGUGAGUUUGUCAUUAUUACCCUCCUAGGUAUUUUCAUGUAGGUUUUUUUUUUUUUGCGUAGUUCAGUGAUCGACUACUUUUAAUUAAUGCUUCCCUUUUUCCCAGAUUGCUUGUUAAAAUGUAAAUCAACAUUCAUUUUAUUAUGCCACUAUGAAUCAUAGUUAUGCUGGAUAGACCAGAACUCUCUUUGGUUCACAAUACUCAAUUUAGAAUCAGCUCCACAGAUUCCUUUCAAUGCUUUUGACUUCUGCAUAUUGGCUAAAGAUUUUUGAAGCUAAUAACUGAGGACUUUUAUGAUGAACUUGGAAGAAAUGAUUGUUCUACAAUAUGGUUUAGCCGUAGGCCGUAGGGUGACAAAACGUUUCUUCUCUUCCUUGUGUGCUCUGUGGGCAGUGGCGAAGCUAAGGGUUGGCUAACCCGGGCUGCAGCCAGGGUUAGCUUUUUGAAAAAAAUAAUAAUUAAUUAUAAUUUAUGAAUUUAUCUUUAUUAAUAUUUAAAAAAAAAAAAUUUAAUAGCCCACCCCAAAGUAUGGUACUAGCUUCGCCACUGUCUGUGGGCACACUAUCGUUGGGGGUUUUAUCUUCCUGUAUUUCAAAUUGCUUGUUGUUUGCUGAUUUUGUCCUUCUUAGAUUCUUAUUGCUCUCCGCUCACACUCCUUUUUUCUAUUAAAUACUUGUUAUGUCGGGAGCUCAAGGGUAGUAAUGAGGGUUGAUGCCCCUCUUUCGAGCUUUGGACGACCUUCUUUCCCUGUUCAGAUAAAUAGUGGUAUUGAGUUUUGAUUGUUUAUAUCUUCGUACUUGGCAUUUGGAAUGUAUAUAGUCACAGGCUCAUUAACAAAAGCUACUGUAUGUGAAUAUUUAACUAUAAUAUUAAUAAUGUUCCCCAAAAAAAAAAAUGUUUAUAUCGAUUAGCAUGGUCUGUGUAUUACUUGUUCCCAACUUGUAUUCUGAGUUUUCAGUUGGUUGUUUUCGGCGUUCCUCUUUUUGCUAGAAAAUUUUGAGCGUGUCAUGUUUGGACCUUUUAUAGCUUCCCUUGUACGGUCUUUUGUCAUUAUUAUUUCACACCUGCAGAUUUAAGCAGAUCAAACAAUUUGUUGAGGUGUGAAUGGAGCUUAAAUUUCGGAAUAACAAAUUUUAGCUAUUUCUGUUCUGCCCUAGGUUUUUAUAUGAUGUUGGAUUUUUUUUAAGUUUUUGGGAAGAAUAAUUGAUGAUUGAUUAUUCUUUCUGAGAUGACUCCGAUUUUGAACAGCUCUUUUUUGUAAUCUCUCUACCAUUGCCUUUGACAAUAUUUAUAAUAAGCCGAAAAUUCCUCUGAUGGCACUUGAAUUUGAUGUUGGUUGUGGCACAUUUGGGAUUAAGAGCCCUAGAAUUAAUUCGAUAUACUGGAAACAACAUUAUAUCAGUUACAAAACCAGAGGGGUGAAAUUUGGUUAGAGUUUUCGUAAAUUUUAAACCGAAAAUUAGAAAUUCGUUAGCACUGUAAUGUCAGUAAAAAGCUGGCAUGAUCAUUGAUCUAUCUCGUCGUACUGAUAAUUUAGCCGGCUAAUUACUUGCAUAAAUAUAAAUUAUUAUUUAAUGAGAGAAAUAUUAUAGUCAAAAGAGUCGCACUAUUAAAUUCCAGUCCUAUUACUGUAAAAUAAUAAUUGUUGGUUAAAAGAAAAAAAACUAAAUUCUUGUUAAAAAUCAUCGCCAAAUUCUUGUUAAGAGUUUAAGACGCUUUUUUUUUAAUGAAUAUUUAUCACCAAAUUUUUUGAUUUAUUAUCUCGUUAUUGAUUAUAUGUCUUUGGUUCUAUAUAUAAAAAAAAAAAGUCUUUGGUCGGGGAAAAAAAUGCCGAAAUAAUAAGAGCAAUUGAAAAAAAAAAAAAAAACCCUUAUUUAUAUGACAAGAGCCCGGCAAAGAUGAAAAUACCCUUACUUACAAAAUCAAAUUAUUUGAGCUCCAAAUCCAUUUUCCUUUUCUUAAUUAUUCUUUUAAAAAGCAAAGAAGUAGGCGAAUCACGCGUCAAUUUUUUAAGCCCUAUUUUCUUCUCAAGUUCUCAUAUUACUGAAUCUAAACACACUAAAAAUCCGUAGAACGAUCAAAAUCAUCUUCUUUUCAUUGCUGAGGAACAUAUAUUGGAUGAAUCUAACUCCAAUAAAGGUAAUAGUAUUUUCAAACUUAAACUGUGUUUCAUGCCAUUCUCCUCAGCUGACUAAAUUAUUAAAUUGUUGCUAUAAUUUAUGGUUUAUGUGUAUUAUAUUUUUUGUUUAUUUCAGAUAAUGUAAUGAUACUAAGGUUAUAAUAUAGAAGGGAUAUUAUCAUUUUCCCACCUAAGGUAUUCUGACACAUCAUGUCAGUACCACGGUUUGGUAAAACUAUCAAUUUACCACCAAACGUUUAAACUGUUAGCAUUUUCCCACCAUUCCGUUAAAACUCAUUUAAUAUGUAACGGAAAAUUCCUAAAAGGUCAAUUUUACCCCUGGAGUAUAAAAAACCAUGUAAUUAACCUUUUAUGAAUUUUGUAAUUAAAUCAUCAUUUGUUGUUCUUCAUUCUUAAAGGACAAAAAUUACCAUUUAUGAAUUUUGUAAAAUUGACCAUGUGGUAUUAGGUACUUCAUAAAUUGAUUUAAUUGAUUUAAUUUUUAAAGGGCAAAUUUAUUUAUUUAAUUUUUUGUGUAAAAUUAUUAUCAUCAUAUCAAAGAUUAAAUUGCUUCUUUUGCACAUUCUUUUUUUUUUUCCCUUUCAUAAAUUGAUGUUUAGUAGUAGAAUAAAUUGUCUUUAGCUCGGCAAUUUAAUAAAUAAAUUUGACCUUUAAAAAUUAAAUAAAUUAAAUCAAUUUAUAAAAGUACCUAGCACCACACGGUCAAUUUUAUAAAAUUUAUAAGGGGUAAUUUUUGUCCUUUAAGAAGGAAGAACAACAAAUGAUAAUUUAAUUACAAAAUUCAUAAAAGGUUAAUUACAUGGUCUUUUACACUUCAGGGGUAAAAUUGACCUUUUAUGAAUUUUCUGUUACAUAUUAACGGAGUUUUAACGGAAUGGUGGGAAAAUGUUAUCAGUUUAAACGUUUGGUGGUAAAUUGAUAGUUUUACCAAACCGUGGUACUAACAUGAUGUGUCAGAAUACCUUUGGUGGGAAAAUGAUAAUAUCCCAAUAUAGAAAUAUUGAGUUAUUACUGUGAAAAAGUCCAAAGUUAUUGCUACAAUUUAUGAAAAAAAAAUUAUUGUUCGUAAAAAAUAUUGAAUUGCAGCUUAAAGACCGGAAUACCUCUUUGCGUGACAUAUUUACUAAGUUCAGUCCAUCACACAGAUAUUUGAUAUGGGGAUAGAUGAUCGAUGCCAAUAAAAAUAUAGAUGAUAGAAAAAUGAAUGGUGCUAGUUGGCAAGAUCAUCAUUUUAACCUAAGCUUUGUACUGGUAUCUUUAGCUACAUUUCAAUUUACCGAUACAAAACUGGCUACCAAACAUAUUUCCUUAUUUUUUGUUCUUAGAAAACGGAAAACAUUUGAGUGGAAAACAUUACCAAAGAGGCCCGUAAAUAUCUGGACUUGCUUCCUUUAUUUCGGUUACUUUGUUAUUCUUUUUUAAUUUCACUUUAUUUUGCAAAUAAUAAAAAAGUAGAUUCGAAAAAAUAAGAAAUACGUAUAAGAUUUUUUUAAUAAUAUUUAUUAAUUAUAAAAUUGUGCCUGGAAAUGAGAGUUGUAUCAUUAAAUUAUGAUCCAAAUGAGUAAUGGGUAUUGCAAAAAUACUAGUAGAUAAUGUUAAUAAUUACAGAUUUCUUGAAGGAGAAAGCCGUAAUUUCAUUGUUUUGUGUUACAAUAAUUGGUAUUCUUCUAAAUUAGUGGGUGUCAUCCAAUUAAAAUGAUAGAAUUUCUUAUGAAAAAAUAAAAGGUCUAGAGUUUGAAACUUGUUCACGUGGGUGAGGAGAGAUUGAAUUGUCGUUAUACUAAAUAACAAUAAGAAUAAAAAAAUAUUUUUCUAAACAAAACACAUCCACAAUAAAAACCACAAUAUUUAUUAAACAAAAGCAAAUAUGAAGUUUUCCUUAUUCGGGAACGUAGGUAGAGAAAUACACAAAUAGGAAAACCACAUUAAUUUGAAAUGUAAAUCCAAUAAAGAAACCAAGGACUCAAGGCUUUUUAAGAAACUCCAUAAUGUAAGUGUUAAAAGCAGAGCACACAACUUUGAAGCCUUGAAAUCCGGCGGCCUUAGCCAAGGUUUUGAAAUCUUGUUCGGUCAUCUCUCUCCCACCUGUAGUAGAAGCCAACAUGAUGCAGUCAAGUUGGAUCACAUGUUUGGAAGCAAGGCUUGUGUCUGGGAGUACUGGGAGAAUACAGUCAGCAACAAUCACUUUCCCAUCUUCUGGAAGUGCUUCGUAGCAAUUCUUCAAGAUCUUCACGCAGGCUUCUUCACUCCAAUUAUGACAUAUCCACUGUAAGUAACAGCACAAAAUGAAUUAAGAUUUUAAUCAAUAAAUUAAAACCCUGCUGGGAGGCCGAGAGUGGCAAAAACAAAUAACCUUCAUGAAAAUGGCAUCCCCUUUUGGAAUACUGACGAACAUGUCUCCCGCAACAUGCUCAAUACCUACGUCAAAUUCAACCAUGGAUUAAAAAAAUUGAUACAGGAUAUAGAAUAGGGAAAUUAUCACUUAUCCACUCAAGAUUUGAUCCGUGAUCGAAGCUAUUCAAAACCUUUUCAAAUUAUUCGACAGUCCACCCAAAGUAUUGCAAAGUGUAUCAAUUAAUUAAUUUUUCAGUUUGUCAGUAAUGCUGUUAGAAAUUUCUAGGGAAACUAAAUAAAAUGACCACUUUGUCCUUGAAGUGUCACCAAAAUUUAACAGUUAUUAACAGUUAGGUGGAUUGCUAAUAUACUUCACAAACCUUGGCCGACAGCUGAUAAUUUUAUAAGGUUAUAAAUAUUCGGGAGAUUGCUAAUUUUCCCUUACAGUAAUCAAUAUAUGCCAUUUAUUUUCCUGUUGUUUUUAUAAUAAUCAAUAAUUCCUCUAACAAUAUAAUUUUACAAUAUUACAUUUACUUUCAAAUACACUUUUAUUUAUAUUUAUUAUAAAUUAAAUAAAUAAUAUGAAUAUAAAUUAAAAUAAAAAAUUAAGUAUUAAAAAUAAGAAUAUACAUUUUGAUGUGACUAAAAAAUUGAAUGUGAUUGUAUUUUCCUUAUUUUUUAACAUGUCUAAAUCUUGGGAGGAAAAUUUUGCUAAUUUCCCUUUAAAAAAUAUAUUAGGGAAACAACAAUGAUCAAUAUACACACCCGGGUAAGCUGGAGCAUCCUGAAUUACAUGUGGUAAAUCGAAGUUAAUGCCUUUAAUUGAUGGAUACUUGGAGAUAAUCAUGUUAAGUGAGGCUCCAAUUCCACCACCAACGUCAACAACUGACUUGAGGCCUUCAAAGCCUUUGUAAUUUUCAAGAAAUUUCUUCAUGGUAAUGGUAGAAUGAGAAAACAUUCCAUUGUUGAAAAUCUUGUUGUAUCUUGGAUCUUUGCCAUGAUACUCGUAUGUAUUCAUCCCGUAGGCCAUGUUGAAUGGGAUGCCACCUUCAAGUACUGCGUCUUUUAAGUGGUACCUGCCCCAAACCACAUUAAUUUCCCGGGAAGCUAACAACAUUAAUCUGGAAAUGAAUAAUGCAUUAUCACUUAUCAAAAUUAUGUAAUCUAUUCUUAAUCAAGAUAGACAUAUAAAGCUUUGUCCAUCUCCCUAUUUUUUAAAAUAAAUUAAGAUAGACAUAUGAACCAGAGACUUGAUGAAGUGGUUUUCAAAUGGAUUAUUACGUGAAAAAAAAACCUUGAUAUUUAUAUGAAGUUUUGCGAAAAUUUGGUGGUUUGGAUUUUUUAUUUUUUAUAGAAAAAAAUUCAUGUGUAUUUUUUUUCGUAACAUUAAAGAAGAAUAAAAUUACAGGACGGACAAUUACCAGCUUUCCAUAACAAUCUUGUCUUGACUCACGAGACAAAGGUUAGAAAGUGAAACACCAUCUUCUUUUUGGGUAAGGAAUUUACAGACGGGUGCAAGGCCAUAAAGCCUCUCAACUCCGCCACCAGGGAGAGUGUGCAAAGAGCAGUUAAGAACUGAGAAGCUAGCCAAAAGACGCAAUAUGCGAUCGAGCAGGAUAUGGGCAUCUGGGUUCUUUGUGGGCAGCUGAGAAGCUAUUUGUUUUGGAGACAUGAAAGCACCUGGGCCAGCUUUAGCAAUGAGCUCUAAAAGAUCAAGCUCGAUAGCUGAUUUGAGAACCAUUGGCAAAACUGAGGCACUGGUUAGUUGCAUGGCAAAGAGUUUUGCUUCCUCGUCUGAGAUUUGAGUUGGAAUCAUCUGAGUUUCAGUACCCAUUUUGUUUUUGAGAGAGAGACGAGAGAACGAGUCUAGAGAAAAGGGCUAAUGGCACUGAUCAAUAGUAAGCUAGCUAAGUGGAGUUAUUUAUAUCACUAAGAGAAGGUUACUUUUAGUCUGUUUUUAUGUGCCCCUUUUAGCUUUGGCAAGUCAAAGAGAACGUGCCACUUCGGCCAAGGCCGAAGUGGUGGGCUGCUGCCGGCAGCGGUUCUAGCCCCCACAAAGGUAUUGUGGGGGCUAAAUGUUCUUUAUAUUUAAAAAUCAUUCUCCCUUGCGAAAUGCAAGUGGAAUAUGGACAUCCCUCUCCUGUGAGGGGUUAUUUAUCUGGGCAUGUACUUCAUAGAAUUCAAUGUAAUAAUGUAAGUCCCAAUCAUGUAUAUCUGAUUGUAAAUAUCAGUGUAAUAUCUCUGCUAUAAUAGCAGUUGUUGUAAAUAUCUGUGUAAUGCAGUAAUCUGAUGAUUAAUCAGUAUUCAAAAAAAAAAAAGUCAAAGAGAACGUCAUAUAAUUACAAAGAGGGGAAAUGCUUGAAAUCUGGAGUUUUUUUUUAUUACAUAAGACUAUUGUUCAAAUUACAACUCAUAUUACAUGAGAUUGUAACUGAUAUUUACAAAUCAUACUAUUACUGGGACCAACUUACAUCAAUACUAAUGAAGUACUGCCCAGAUUUUAACUCUCACAAAUAUUCGAGGGAUAUAUAUCUACUACUCACACUUGGGUAAGAGAAAAGACUGCAUUCACUUAAAUUUAAUUGAAGAAGGAAAUACCCCCACAAUGCAUUUGUGGGGGUUCGAACUGCUGCCCUCCAAGUUGGAGGGCAGCAGCCCUAACCACUCGACCCGAGUGGCUGCUUGAAAUCUGGAGUUACUUAUGCAAAAGGAGCACUCAGAUUUAAACAUAGAAAAUAAAAUAUUAUUCGUGGAGAUUAUUAUCAUAGCAUACAACACGUACGACAGCACUUGCCAUACUAAAGUGCUAUCACUUCUGAUAUGAUAAUAUUUUUUUUGUAGUCAAAUAUUUUUUUUUAACAAAAUUAAGAGUUUUUUACUAGACCUGCAAAAACAGCAUGAAAUACUCUUCAAAGUUACAAGGGAAAAGAAGAAGUGAAUGAUUACAACAGCAUGUGGACUAGUUAGUCUUAUUAUGAAUUAUAUUUUUUAUAGGGUUGUGAUGCAGUUUAACUAUGAAGAUUUGAUUCAAUAAAUUUAUGCUAUUCAAAGUUGAUUUUUCAUGUUGGGAGUUCUUUUUAAUAUUUGUCCAAUAUUUAAUUAAUUUGAGCAGUCUAAUAAAUGUGUUUUUUUGCUUAUGCGAUGAAUGUCAUGAACUACGAUGUAGACGAAAAUGUGCCAUAAAUCCUGAUUCCCGAUCGAUUUAUUAUGCACUUAAUCUAUAACUACCAUGGUUCCUAAUGAAUUGCACUAUUUUAAAUUCACAAAGAGUGCCGAAGUAUCUUUAAUAAUGCUGGAGAAUGAUUAUAAAAACAAUUAGUAUUUUUAAUUGUCAACAUCUAUAGCGGUAAUUAAAAAACUUUAGUUGCAUAAACAUAUAUAGGAAUUAAAUUGGAAUACUUAUACUAAAAUCAGAUGUACAAACUGAUUUUGCUUUAAAACUUUUCUCAUUCAAUCUUCUUUAAUCGACUUUUCAAAAAAAAAAAAAAAUUAUUUUAUCUAUUAGUUCGUAAAAAUCUAGGAUUAAUUAAUUUUGAUAAUUAAUAAAUUAAACAAUCCACAUGAAAACGAUAAUUUUCUCAUCACGUUAUGAAUGUAUUGUAUGUAUGUAUAUGCAAAAUUCAAUAAAAUAAUUCUUCGAUACAUUCUUUAUUAAUGAGAAAUGACGCUUCUAAUCUUCUUUAUGAAAUUUGUUUUAAAAAAGAGUAUAUUGAAAGCAGCCAGGGAGGCUAGGCGCUGGUUAAUUUGAGUCCAAUGAUUUUCAAAGAUUGACUGUUCAAGUUUACUAAAUUGAAUUGAAUUGAAUUGAAUUGAAUUGAACUGAACUGUGAAGUGUACUUAAUUGGAAAAGUACUUGUAUAUGGUUUGGAUUAAAUUUCUCAUGAAAUCACGAGGACAUGUCAAUUUCCUACUCGAUGAAAAUUACUCCUGCCAUUGAUGACCAAGAAACUGCGUAAACAAAUAUAACUCGUGUACUAGAAUCAAAAUUAUUGGCCAUUCAAAUAUGCUAGCCAAUUUGUUAAUAACUUUCCCACACCAACCAGGGCUAUCUUAAUGUCGAAAAUCAGCAAAUAAGGAUUAAAUUCAGUACAAUACUUUUGACAUUUAUUCUCAAUUUUCUCUAGAGAUUCUCUUCAUGCAUUAUAAUUAGGGAUGGCAAUGGGGAGGGGAGGGGAGGGGAGGGGACCAAUCUCCCCGUACUCAUCCCCGAUAUUUUACGUAUGUCCCCAUCUCCUUCCCGUCCCGUAAGAAUUGCUUGAGAGAAUCCUCAUUCUCUCCCAAAAUAAUAACAGGGGAUCCCCGAGAGUUCUCGAUCACCAAAUAACUAAUACAUUUUUUUUUUUCGAUUUUGAGUUAAUUAUAUUAAAAUAAAAUUCAAGUAAAAGUAAAGUUCGAAAUAUAUCUUACAUUAACAUUGAUCCAUUACAAAAGUCACAUGCAAAAUAUAAAUUAUCAAAAUAAUUAUCUUUGUCAAUCUUUAUAAUCCUACAAUAAAAAGAAAAAGAAUUUACUUUUAUAUCGACAAUAAAAUAAAUGAAAUAAAUGUAGAUACUUAAUUAAUAUUUUUAAUAAAACAAAAUUAAAAUUAAAACAAAAUUUUUGGGCUAAUAGAAUCUACUCGGCCUUUUUAAUGUCUUAAAUAAAAAUUUAAGACUUUAAUUAGUUAAUUAGACCUAAAAAUUUAAUAAUAUAAAUAUUUUGAUAUUUGUUAUUUUUACCAAUAUUUAUAAUUUUAUAAUAUAAUACAAUUUUUAUUAUUUAUUUACUAGUAAUUUUAAAAAUUAAAAUUAAAAUUAAAAAUUAAAAUGGGGGAAAUGGGGAGGGGAUGGGGAUUCCACCUCAUCCCCGUCCCUUUCCCGAAUAAGAAAAUAGGUAAAAAAAUUUCUCCGUUCCUUCUCCGAAUAAAAAAUCGGGUAUAAAAUUAUUCUCGUACCCUCCCCGAAUGAGAAAAUCCCCGAGAGUACCCGUCCCCAUGGGAAUUUUUGCCGUCUCUAAUUAUAAUAUUCUUUUUCAUUUUGCGCGCAUUCUUUUCCUGCGUUAGAAAAAUUCUUCUCCCGGUGGCGGUGGACUUUUCAGCCUUUUCCUGCGUCAGAAAAAUUCUUCUCCCGAUGGCGGUGGACUUUUCAUUCUUUUCCUGCGUCAGACAAAUUCUUCUCCCGGUGGCGAUGGACUUUUCAUCUCUCUCUAAAUAAAUUUACAAAUGAAUUUGUUAUCUUUGAGUUUAAAUAAAAUUUUGAUUUGAACUUUUUGUCUUGUGUGGUACAAAUGACAAAUGACUGGGUGUGGAAAUGGUAAUCAGAGUAGUAUCUCCAUAAAAUGUAAAUGUUAACUAAGUAAUAAUUUUUAUAAAAAUUACCUGAUCAAAUGUGUUCGAUAAUAUUACUUGUGAAGUAUAAAAGAAAAAGAUCCUAUGACACAGUUCCUAUGAUUAAGCAAUUAGCAAGACAUUGAGGCAAGAAUAAGAAUAAUAGUUAAAAGGAGUGAUUCAGUUAACGUCAAAUUACGGAACGCAAACGUGAACUUUAAAAAAAUAAAUGAAUAUAAGUUCUAGAAAGAAUGAAAUAUUAUUGAUAAAAGUCUGAAUGACAAAGUUAGGAUUUUAAAGUCUUUUUGUACUGACCUUAAAUAUUACAAAUUUAUCAAAACAAACAAACUUGAAAAAAUCUUAUAUAAUAAAAUUCUCCUAAUUGAAAUAAGAAAAAUAAAACAAACGGCAUUUAAAUGCUAAAAGCAAUAGGAAUUAAACUUACAAAACGACAACAAAAGAAAGGGAAUUUCCAGCUGAAACAUAGAGCAAAUAUUGGCAUAGCUAGGUUAGAUUCAUCUUAAUGUAGAUUUCGAAAUGAUAUAUUAUACGGCCCAAACAAACAUUUGUAGGUCCAGUUGUGAGAAAAGUAUCAUACACAUUCUACAUAACUAUCAUACAUCAGUCCCCUUCACUUCAAAGAGAAAUUGUCCUCGAGUUAUUCCAAUAAAACUCGUUGUCAUUUAGAUGAUACUCAAAUAGAUCAAACACGUUGAAUGUAUUGGAUUUUUUCCAAUUGCUCUAUAAAUGUAACCUUAAUUUUAAUCAUAAGAAUCAAUAAGUUUUGCAUAUCAUUACAUACAUUUGCUUUGAACUAUGAAAAAAAUAAUAUUAUUUUUAUGUAUGCUUUUCAUAUGAAAACUAAUUUCAAAUUCUAAUUUCAUAACCAAAACUUUUAACAUUUCAACCUAUAUAUAUAUAUUGUCAUGAUGUUUAUGUUGAAAACACAUUGUAGGUUUGGUAAUAUUUUAAACAUAUUUCCUCGAUUAUUUCAUUAUGUUGUUAAAUCAGAUCUUUUUAAUUUGUAUUUUCAUAAAUUUGUAUUUUAUUCUUGUUCAUAGAGCAACGAAAAUGAGAACUGCAGUCCUUGUUUGCCAUAAACUUACAUGUUGUUCUUGUCCGUAGAGAAGAGAAAAAUAAAACUGCAUUCUUGUUUGAAGAAUAUUAGUUAGUUUAAGAAUUAAUGAAUUAUGUUAUGUUAUGCCCUUGUGGUUAAAGCAAACUCAGUACCCACAAGAAAUUAAUUAAUUAACAAUUAAGAUGGAAACUGAUAUUAUAUAUAUUUUACUUCCUUUAUUUUUUAUCAAUUGUACAUAUGCAGAAGAAAAGUAAGACACGUUUAAGUAUUUAUUAAACGCAAUACAUGCCUAAUCAAUUUAUUAAACUCACUCUAAAAAAAUAAAAGGUGAUGAAAAUUUUUAUUUAUUUUGCUCUUUAAAUAAUAAGAUAACACUUUUAUAAUAAAAUUUAUUAAACACGUGUAUUUUACUUUUCAAACGUACAACUAUCACAAUAACAUAAUUUACCAAAUGCCUAACUAUAUUUUCACUUAGCAACCUAUUUUAUCAGCAAAAUAAAAGUAACUAAUUUCAUCAACCAUUACAAUCCCAAACUGGCCUUUUAGGCAUGUAUAUGGGAGAAAGUAUUUGACUAUGCUAUUGAAUUUGUUACUUUGAAAUUUAUUUCGAUUUUCUGUGAUGCUAGUUCAUUGAUGCUAGUGAUUUUGUGUUGAAGUGAAUUUAUGUCCACAAAAAUACAUGUUGGGAAAGGGACUACCGCAAGCAAUUGUAAAUUAAGUGGAAAUAAAAUUUUUUUCUCUUUGUGUGAUUAAAAUAGGAUGUGCACCAUAAAUGAAUAGGCAAAAUAAACCAAUAAAUUCAAAGCAAAAACCAACCACAAGAGACAUAUAUUUUUACGUGGAAAACCCAAAGCGGGAAAAACCUCAGACCGUAGUCCGAUAUAAUCUUCCACUAUAUUAAUGGGAUUACAGCACAAAUGAAAUGACCCGCCCCGAAUUCCCAGGACGAGUCUAUCUAAUCUCGUCUAAUCGAAUUAAUAAUAAUUCUGAUAUCUAAGAAUUUUAUCAAAAAAUCGACAGAGUCUCCCAUAUAAAUAUAACAUUCCCAAACCUGCAAUUUACAAAACAAUACUCCCAAAAAUAAUUCAAUAACCAACCAUCCUUCAUAACCAACUUCUCAAGUCAACAUACCAAAUAUCACCCAAAUCAUUCUAAUAUUAAAAUACAAUGGUUAUCCUUAAUUACAAAAUAUAACAAUAAAUACAAUUCGCAAUAUCCCAAAUAUCAAAAUAUUAAAUCUACGGUUCCUAGCACCAUCACGUGGCACAAUUUCAAAUCUAACUAUCGUUGUUGGGUCGACUGAUGUAUCUGUAAAUCUCCUGUGGAGGGGGGGGGGGGAAUAUAAUAAAACCGAGGUGAGUAUAAAACUCAGUGAGUGGAUAAUAGUUUUUGAAAAAUAAAUUUACUUAAAAAUAAUUUAAUUCUUCUCUAAACAAUCUCAUCAAAAUUUCAUAAGACUUUAAAGAAACUUAUUUAAUUUAAAUCAUACACUUGAAUAACAAUAUUUUAUAAAUUUGCAUAAAAUCAAUGAAAUCAUAAUACUUAUAAUAUCAAAUACUGAAUACCAAAAAUUAUCAUCAAACAAGUACCCAGGGGAAUAAUCUCAUCAUAUCUGGACCUCGACGGACGGGCAAUCAGGGAACCAUCAUGCCCCGGAGCUACAACGGAUAGACGAGGAAAUGUCAUCUCAUAUCUCAUGUAUCUCAGCAUAUGUAUCUUUGUAAUCAUCAUACUGUAUGCAUAAGCCCCCAAAAGGCAAAAGCGCCCAAACACACAACCCAAAGCCUCUAUGUGUGUUCAGAUGGGCCCCAAAGGCCUUUAUCUCAUCUCAUCUGUAUCUCUGUAUUCAUCUCAUAUUAUCUGUAUCUCUGUAUCUGGGGGAGAAGGGUACUGUCCAAUAAUUUUCCAAACAACAUUUUAUACACAUGUACAUCAACAUAUAAUCACAUAUGAAAUCUCAUUUUUUUUUUAUUCAACAUAUCUCAAAAUACACUCAAUUCUAAUAUCAUGCAUUUACUCAAAAAUGAUAAUAAAAUCAUUAAUCAAACUCAUUCUUAAUAACAAUAAAUAUCAACACAGAUAAAAAUCAAUUUUCUAGAAAAUCAUUUAAUCGAACAUCGAAAACAUGUUGUACUGUAUGGUAAAAUCAGAAUAUACUAUGAAAAUAUGUUUUGUAUAUUCCACUUAUAGUAACAAAGUCCAAACUCGGUAUCAAUAACGUCCGCGGGUUGAUUCUCGUUCGCAGAUCCUCCUAAUCAAGGAAACGACAUAAUCAUUCUCCGUAAAUUUGAAAUACAACUAAUUUUACAUAAUAAUUCUCGAAACGAAUAUCUAUCCACAAUAAACUAUUCCCGCAUGCACAAAAUUACCAAAAUACCCCCAACAUCAUUAUUUUACCAAAUUAUCCUCAGAAUCUUCAAUUACUAAAUUGUCCUCAAUUCAGAUCACGAAAAUAACUACAAUGUCAGAAAUUACGAAAUUACCCUUGAAGCGUAAAAUUACCAAAAUGCCCUUAACGACUUAAAUUACUGAAUUACCCUCGAAAUCUCAAAUUACCUCACUGCCCUAACCAAAGAUUACCAAAUUAUCCAUUGAUUUCACAAAUUACAAAUUCACCCUAAAGUUUUAUGAAAUUACCGAAUUGCCCCUGCCGGUCAACGGUGACCGGACUUCAGUCAACAUUGACGGGAAGCUUAGGUCUGAUAGUUCAGACCUUGCUGAGUCCAACGGUGCCGACGGUGACCUACCACGCGCGGCGAUGGCGGUGGAUCGUGCUCCCAAAGCCGUUUGCUUUCCGGCGGUCGUUCAUGGCCAAAACGGAGGUUUCAGGUGCCGGGGUUAGUCGGAAAUGAAAGCUGGUGACGUCGGGAGUCGAACCCAACCGGUGGUGCAACCUAAUUCCGGCUAGAUUGACGGUGAAGAAAAAGGGUUGAGCCGCGGCUUUCAAGCUUAGAUCGCCGGCAUUCUGGCUGAUUUCCGGUGACUAUGACAGCGGGGAUAUGACCGGCGUCGCUCAAGCUUCAGAUCGGUACCAAGAUCGGCCGGUGAGGUGGCCGGAAUCGGCGGUUGGAGCCGGGUGAAGGACGCGGGUCGGAUGUGGGCUGAACCGGUCAAUUACUCUCUCUCUCCUUCUCUCUCACGUGUAAUUAAAUUAAAUUAAAAACACACAAUGCAAUUAAAUUAAAAACACACAAUGUAAUUGCACAACAAUUUUACACAUACACAAUUCAAUUCAACAACCCAAUAUAAA
rnacentral:lncRNA from 1 species